rnacentral:lncRNA from 1 species
AUGCCAAGGCCUGUACUUGUCACAAACACUUUUUUUUUUUUUUUAAUACUAGAAACUAGUUGGUGCGAUUGCCUUGGCAACAAAGCACAUGGGAUGUUUCUUUGGGCAGUAUUUGCCAGGUGCUCUGUGUUAAAUCUGUUCUCUUCUGCCAGGUUCUCAUGUGACCGGAGCCUACCACAGGACUCCUCCCACUCACUGCCCUCAGGUUUGUUGAGGAUUUCAGUGAAGAGAAGAUGAAGUCUCUGAGACUGAUUCACCCAGAGUGGUGACUUCAUCAGGCUGCAUGUCCAUGACCAGACUGGUUGAUGGUGAGUCCUACUCCGCCCGGUAAACCUGCAGUUGUCUGUAGUAUUAUGUUAUGGAGCAGAACCAGUGAUGAGACACAACUAAAUAACUUUUCUGACACCUCAUAUGAGGGCUGGCAACAGCCCCUGAUUCUAACUCUACUCUGAGGCUCUGCUAGUGCCUGCUACAAAAGCUGCUACCUGGGGAUUUGUGUGAUUUGAAGUUUGUUUCUACAAGAUUUGUCUGUUGUAUCAAGAAGGAUUUGGCUUUUAGACUGAUCAUCUGUUUCUCCUUCAGGUUGCAGGGAGAUGGCCUCACCGUUAGCACUGCAGAUUCUUGCCUGCUCCCUAAACAUCAGGUGUCCAGUGUCGUACUUUUCCUUACAUUCUAUUCAACACGAAAGGACUUCACUUAAUUGACAUCAGCUGUAUGGUUUCUCCAGUGUGAAUCAUCUGAUAAAAAGAUUUUCCAUCGAGUGGUUCCUUUUUAAUUUGCUGUUGUAACUUUUACCACUUAUAGUUCUCAUCCCCAAUGCCACUCAUUUAAGCUGGUUCCAUUAAACAUGGCCAUUACUUAAAUUCAAUCCAGAGGUCCCCAGGUCUCAAUUCCAAUUGAGCUCAUUUAGAUUGUGGAGGAACGGGAGGUCUGCAACAUGUGUAAAUCUUCAAGAAACUGUGAUUCAUUGUGUUAGCUUGGGCUAAAAUCUAUACACGUUUCCACCUUGUUACUCCUGUUCAUUCAGGUCUAAACUGGUGGAUUUUUAUGCAGGCAUGUUCAGAUUUUUACUUAAUUCCAUUUCAAUUUGUCCAAUUUCCCACUAACCUUCCCUGACAGUGCAGCUGGUGGCAGCAGUAAGGCCUCUCUCCUGUGUGAACUCUCUGAUUUAUGGUUAUGCUUUUAGUUCUGGUAUCAUGCACAGCCUUAAUGUGUCACGGUUGUAUUCUCAUCACCUCUCCCUGGCAACAGGGACCUAAUGGUUCUACUUCACUUGUGAUUUUGAAAGUUCAAUAAAGUUGAGUCAAUUUUCUCAUUUGAUCUUAUUCUGUAAUGAAAUACUAAACGUGUGAAUUAAAAUCUUCCAAUGUCUGGAGGAAUUAUUUAUUAUUCAUGACAUU